rnacentral:rRNA from 1 species
GACGAACGCUGGCGGCGUGCUUAACACAUGCAAGUCGAACGGAAAGGCCCUGCUUUUGUGGGGUGCUCGAGUGGCGAACGGGUGAGUAACACGUGAGUAACCUGCCCUUGACUUUGGGAUAACUUCAGGAAACUGGGGCUAAUACCGGAUAGGAGCUCCUGCUGCAUGGUGGGGGUUGGAAAGUUUCGGCGGUUGGGGAUGGACUCGCGGCUUAUCAGCUUGUUGGUGGGGUAGUGGCUUACCAAGGCUUUGACGGGUAGCCGGCCUGAGAGGGUGACCGGCCACAUGGGGACUGAGAACCGGCCCAGACUCCUACGGGGGGGAGCGGGGGGGAAUAUGGCACAAGGGGGGGAAGCCUGAUGAAGAAACCCCGCGGGCGGGAUGACGGCCUUCGGGUUGUAAACCGCUUUCGCCUGUGACGAAGCGUGAGUGACGGUAAUGGGUAAAGAAGCACCGGCUAACUACGU